rnacentral:rRNA from 1 species
UGACAUUGUUUAACGGCCGCGGUAUUAUGACCGUGCGAAGGUAGCGUAAUCACUUGUCUUUUAAUUGAAGACCUGUAUGAAAGGCAUCACGAGAGUUUACCUGUCUCUAUUUUCUAAUCAAUGAAAUUGAUCUCCCCGUGCAGAAGCGGGGAUAUAACCAUAAGACGAGAAGACCCUAUGGAGCUUCAAACACUUAAGUUACUAUCUUCUUUAUAAAUUAAUCUAAAGACUUAACCAUUCUAAUAGUAAUCUAACUUAAUGUUUUCGGUUGGGGCGACCAAGGAGUAAAAGAAAACCUCCUUACCGAUUGAGUAUUUUUACUUAAAAGUCAGAACGACAGUUCUGAUUAAUAGAAUGUCUAACGAAUAAUGACCCAGGGCUAUACCCUGAUCAAUGAACCAAGUUACCCUAGGGAUAACAGCGCAAUCCUUUCUAAGAGUCCAUAUCGCCGAAAGGGUUUACGACCUCGAUGUUGGAUCAGGACAUCCUAAUGGUGCAACCGCUAUUAAGGGUUCGUUUGUUCAACGAUUAAUAGUCCUACGUGAUCUGAGUUCA